UACAGAGGGUGCAAGCGUUAAUCGGAAUUACUGGGCGUAAAGAGUGCGUAGGCGGUUUUCUAAGUUUGGUGUGAAAUCUCCCGGCUUAACUGGGAGGGUGCGCCGAAAACUGGAAGGCUUGAGUAUGGGAGAGGUAAGCGGAAUUCCUGGUGUAGCGGUGAAAUGCGUAGAUAUCAGGAGGAACACCUGCGGUGUAGACGGCUUACUGGACCAUAACUGACGCUGAGGCACGAAAGCGUGGGUAGCAAACAGG
rnacentral:rRNA from 1 species